UACGGAGGGUGCAAGCGUUGUCCGGAUUUAUUGGGUUUAAAGGGUUCGUAGGUGGCCAAUUAAGUCAGACGUGAAAUCCCUCAGCUUAACUGGGGAACUGCGUCUGAGACUGGAUGGCUUGAGUGCAGGAGAGGAACGCGGAAUUCCAGGUGUAGCGGUGAAAUGCGUAGAUAUCUGGAGGAACACCGGUGGCGAAGGCGGCGUUCUGGACUGCAACUGACACUGAGGAACGAAAGCCAGGGGAGCAAACGGG
rnacentral:rRNA from 1 species